AACUACACUAUCAACGAAUGAAUCCACCCACAAGAUGAUGUGGCUGUUUAUCUACAUAUAUUUAGAAUGCGGAUAUGGCAUCGUGAUGUUCCACCUCAGAUGAAGCACUCAAGUUUGCAUCCUAGGUGUAACAACUAAGUCAUCUUGCAGGUGGAUCCGUUCCCUAGUAGUGUAGUU
rnacentral:pre_miRNA from 1 species